rnacentral:lncRNA from 11 species
AAGAACCUGAUUUAGAAUUGGCCUGAGGUUAUGUGAGGCAAAUCUCCAGUUUUCUCCAAAUGAGCGUAAGUUCCAGUAUGAUGGCAUCCCUUUAUCAUCACAAUGUGCCUGUAAUGUAGGCAGAUCAUCCAAUCUGAC